rnacentral:rRNA from 1 species
CCUACGGGAGGCAGCAGUGAGGAAUAUUGGUCAAUGGCCGGAAGCCUGAACCAGCCAAGUAGCGUGCGGGAUGACGGCCCUACGGGUCGUAAACCGCUUUUGCACGGGGACAACACCCUCCACUUGUGGCGGUCUGCAGGUACCGUGCGAAUAAGCGUCGGCUAACUCCGUGCCAGCAGCCGCGGUAAUACGGAAGACGCGAGCGUUAUCCGGAUUCAUUGGGCUUAAAGGGUGCGUAGGCGGAAUGUCAAGUCAGCGGUAAAAUUGCGGGGCUCAACCCCGUCGCGCAGUUGAAACUGGACGCCUUGAGUGAGCGAGAGGCAUGCGGAAUGCGUGGUGUAGCGGUGAAAUGCAUAGAUAUCACGAGGAACCCCGAUUGCGAAGGCAGCAUACCGGCGUGCAACUGACGCUGAGGCACGAAGGUGCGGGUAUCGAACAGGAUUAGAUACCCGGGUAGUC